UACGGGGGGAGCAAGCGUUGUUCGGAUUUACUGGGCGUAAAGGGCGCGUAGGCGGUCAGUGCAAGUCAGUUGUGAAAUCUCCGGGCUUAACUCGGAAAGGUCAACUGAUACUGCUCGACUAGAGUGCGGAAGGGGCAACUGGAAUUCUUGGUGUAGCGGUGAAAUGCGUAGAUAUCAAGAGGAACACCUGCGGCAAAGGCGGGUUGCUGGGCCGACACUGACGCUGAAGCGCGAAAGCUAGGGGAGCGAACGGG
rnacentral:rRNA from 1 species